GUGCCAGCAGCCGCGGUAAUACCGGCAGCUCGAGUGAUGGCCACUCUUAUUGGGCCUAAAGCGUCCGUAGCUGGCCGCGCAAGUCCGUCGGGAAAUCCAUCAGCCCAACUGAUGGGCGUCCGGCGGAAACUGCACGGCUUGGGACCGGAAGGCUCGAGAGGUACGUCCGGGGUAGGAGUGAAAUCCUGUAAUCCUGGACGGACCGCCGGUGGCGAAAGCGCCUCGGGAGGACGGACCCGACGGUGAGGGACGAAAGCCAGGGUCUCGAACCGGAUUAGAAACCCCUGUAGUCC
rnacentral:rRNA from 1 species